rnacentral:rRNA from 1 species
GACGAACGCUGGCGGCGUGCCUAAUACAUGCAAGUUGAGCGAUGAAGAUUGGUGCUUGCACCAAUUUGAAGAGCAGCGAACGGGUGAGUAACGCGUGGGGAAUCUGCCUUUGAGCGGGGGACAACAUUUGGAAACGAAUGCUAAUACCGCAUAACAACUUUAAACAUAAGUUUUAAGUUUGAAAGAUGCAAUUGCAUCACUCAAAGAUGAUCCCGCGUUGUAUUAGCUAGUUGGUGAGGUAAAGGCUCACCAAGGCGAUGAUACAUAGCCGACCUGAGAGGGUGAUCGGCCACAUUGGGACUGGGACACGGCCCAAACUCCUACGGGAGGCAGCAGUAGGGAAUCUUCGGCAAUGGACGAAAGUCUGACCGAGCAACGCCGCGUGAGUGAAGAAGGGUUUCGGAUCGUAAAACUCUGUUGGUAGAGAAGAACGUUGGUGAGAGUGGAAAGCUCAUCAAGUGACGGUAACUACACAGAAAGGGACGGCUAACUACGUG